ACAGAGCCUCUACCAAUGGUGCCUACUCGUAUAUAUGUACCUUGAGGUCCUCUUAUGCCGCCAAGUUGUGCCUCAUAAUUAUCAUACUCUCGUAAUGUCCCACAUCCACCGCAAUACGAAUUCCCCGUGUCUUCGUCGCGUUCAAAGUUGCUUCCAUUGCAUCUCUUGCAACGCAUGAUUCAAACCGAAAGCUUCACACUUUAAAUUACGGGUUUUUUUUUCCGACAAGCAGAAGAAUGAGAUUCGGAUCGCCGGCGAAUCGAGAAGUACUGGAGAGAGAAAUCAAAACUAAUUAAGAUUUGACCUUUCCUUAAAAAUAAGCUAGGUUUUUAUAUUGUCGAGAUG